rnacentral:rRNA from 1 species
AAUCAACGCCGGCGGCGUGCCUCAGACAUGCAAGUCGAACGCGAAAGUUUCCUCCGGGAGAUGAGUAGAGUGGCGCACGGGUGAGUAACACGUGAGUAAUUUACCUCGGGUGGGGAAUACUAACCGAAACGGUGUUAAUACCGCAUAAUGCAGCGGCAUCAAUGAUGACAGUUGUUAAAGCGGGGGAGUUGGAGCAAUCCGACCUCGCGCCUGAAGAGAAGCUCGCGGCAGAUUAGCUAGUUGGUAAGGUAA